rnacentral:rRNA from 1 species
AGAGUUUGAUCAUGGCUCAGGAUGAACGCUGGCGACGUGGAUAAGGCAUGCAAGUCGAACGGUUGUAGCAAUACAACAGUGGCGAACGGGUUAGUAACACGUAGAUAUCAACCCUUUACUCGGGCAUAACCUGGAGAAAUCUAGGCUAAUUCCCGAUAGUCCGGAAACGGUAAAGAUUUUUCGGUAAAGGAUGAGUCUGCGUCCUAUCAGCUAGUUGGUGAGGUAAUGGCUCACCAAGGCAAUGACGGGUAGGCGGAGUGAGAGCUUGACCGCCAACAAUGGCACUGAGACACGGGCCAUACUCCUACGGGAGGCAGCAGUCGAGAAUAUUUGACAAUGGGCGAAAGCCUGAUCAAGCGACGUCGCGUGUGGGAUUAAGAUCUUCGGAUUGUAAACCACUUUUCUAGGGGAAGAACUUUGACUGUACCCUAGGAAUAAGGGGUGACUAAACUCGUGCCAGCAGUAGCGGUAAUACGAGUGCCCCAAGCGUUAUCCGGAUUUAUUGGGCGUAAAGGGUCUGUAGGUGGUUUGUUAAGUUUCUCGUUAAAGCUCCAGGGCUUAACCUUGGAAAAGCGGGAAAAACUGGCAAACUAGAGGAUGUUAGAGGCUGAUGGAACACUUGGUGAAGGGGUGGAAUCCGUUGAUAUCAAGUGGAACACCGAAAGCGAAAGCAAUCAGCUGGGACAGUCCUGACACUGAAAGACGAAAGCGUGGGGAGAGAAAAGGAUUAGAUACCCUUGUAUUCCACGCCUUAAACGAUGAAUACUAGCUAUUGCAAGUGUCGACCCUUGCAGUGGCGAAGCUAACGCGUUAAGUAUUCCGCCUGGGAAGUACGGCCGCAAGUGUGAAACUCAAAGGAAUUGACGGGGACCCGCACAAGCAGCGGAGCAUGUGGUUUAAUUCGAAGCAACGCGAAGAACCUUACCAGGUCUUGACAUCCUUCUGGAUAGUCCUUAGCCGGACUAGCCCUUCGGGGCAGAAGAGACAGGUGGUGCAUGGUUGUCGUCAGCUCGUGUCGUGAGAUGUUGGGUUAAGUCCCGCAACGAGCGCAACCCUUGUGUUUAGUUGCCAACAGGUAAAGCUGUGCACUCUAGACAGACUGCCGUGGAAAACACGGAGGAAGGUGGGGAUGACGUCAAAUCAUCAUGCCCCUUAUGAUCUGGGCUACACACGUGCUACAAUGGCCGGUACAACGGGCAGCGAAGGAGCGAUCCGGAGCGAAUCCUAAAAAGCCGGUCCCAGUUCGGAUUGCAGGCUGCAACUCGCCUGCAUGAAGUCGGAGUUGCUAGUAAUCGCGAAUCAGCAUGUCGCGGUGAAUGCGUUCCCGGGUCUUGUACUCACCCCCGUC